rnacentral:rRNA from 1 species
GACGAACGCUGGCGGCGUGCUUAACACAUGCAAGUCGAACGAAGUGGCGAACGGGUGAGUAACGCGUAAUCAACCUGCCCUUCAGAGGGGGACAACAGUUGGAAACGACUGCUAAUACCGCAUACUGAAGGAGGGGAUUGCGGCUGAUUAGCUAGUGGGAGGGGUAACGGACGACCAAGGCGAUGAUCAGUAGCCGUUCUGAGAGGAUGAACGGCCACAUUGGGACGGAGACACGGCCCAGACGCCUACGGGAGGCAGCAGUGGGGAAGUUUCCGCAAUGGAGGAAAGUCUGACGGAGCAACGCCGCGUGAGUGAUGACGGCCUUCGGGUUGUAAAGCUCUGUUAAUCGGGACGCGGUACCUGAAUAGAAAGCCACGGCUAACUACGUGCCAGCAGCCGCGGUAAUUC